rnacentral:tRNA from 1 species
GGGCGGUUAGCUCAGUUGGCUAGAGCGCUUCCCUUACAAGGAAGAAGUCACAGGUUCGAGUCCUGUACCGCCCA